rnacentral:rRNA from 1 species
GAUGAACGCUGGCGGCGUGCCUAAUACAUGCAAGUCGAGCGAACAGACGAGGAGCUUGCUCCUCUGACGUUAGCGGCGGACGGGUGAGUAAAACGUGGAUAACCUACCUAUAAGACUGGGAUAACUUCGGGAAACCGGUGCUAAUACCGGAUAAUAUAUUGAACCGCAUGGUUCAAUAGUGAAAGACGGUUUUGCUGUCACUGAUAGAUGGAUCCGCGCCGCAUUAGCUAGUUGGUAAGGUAACGGCUUACCAAGGCAACGAUGCGUAGCCGACCUGAGAGGGUGUACGGCCACACUGGAACUGAGACACGGUCCAGACUCCUACGGGAGGCAGCAGUAGGGAAUCUUCCGCAAUGGGCGAAAUCCUGAAGGAGCAACGCCGCGUGGGUGAUGAAGGUCUUCGGAUCGUAAAACUCUGUUAUUAGGGAAGAACAAAUGUGUAAGUAACUAUGCACGUCUUGACGGUACCUAAUCAGAAAGCCACGGCUAACUACGUG